rnacentral:rRNA from 1 species
GAUGAACGCUAGCGGCAGGCCUAACACAUGCAAGUCGAGGGGCAGCACAUAAAGUGGUUUACUACUUUGGUGGCGACCGGCGGACGGGUGCGUAACGCGUAUGCAACCUGCCUCCAACAGGGGGAUAACGGAGAGAAAUUUCCACUAAUACCCCAUAAUAUCAGAAUCGGCAUCGGUUUUGGUUGAAAACUCCGGUGGUUGGAGAUGGGCAUGCGUUGUAUUAGAUAGUUGGUGAGGUAACGGCUCACCAAGUCAACGAUACAUAGGGGGACUGAGAGGUUAGCCCCCCACACUGGUACUGAGACACGGACCAGACUCCUACGGGAGGCAGCAGUGAGGAAUAUUGGUCAAUGGGGGCAACCCUGAACCAGCCAUGCCGCGUGCAGGAAGACGGCUCUAUGAGUUGUAAACUGCUUUUACAAGGGGAUAAAUCGGUGUACGUGUACACCGUUGAAGGUACCUUGGGAAUAAGGAUCGGCUAACUCCGUGCCAGCCGCCGCCGUAA